UACAGAGGGGGCAAGCGUUGUUCGGAAUUACUGGGCGUAAAGGGCGCGUAGGCGGCCUUCUAAGUCGAACGUGAAAUCCCCGGGCUCAACCCGGGAACUGCGUCCGAUACUGGAAGGCUUGAAUCCGGGAGAGGGAUGCGGAAUUCCAGGUGUAGCGGUGAAAUGCGUAGAGAUCCGGAAGAACACCGGAGGCGAAGGCGGCUUGCUGGACCUGGUCUGACGCUGAGGCGCGAAAGCGUGGGGAGCGAACAGG
rnacentral:rRNA from 1 species